ensembl:lncRNA
CUUUAAAACGUUUAUUCCAUUAAUACAAAUUUUCAUAGUUUAUUUAAGCCAAACCAAUUCCAUCGCACUCUGUCCCAAGUUCAAUUCAUGUUUAAUGUCAUAAAAACCGAAAUAGAUUUUACAAACAAUUUUUACAUUUAAUUUUAAUAAAAUAAAUUCCUAUUAAAGUUUUAAAUUAACAUUUAAGUUACACAAUGCACAUAUCUUACAGAACAAUAACUAGAAACAAGAUUAAGCAAAUAAACAAUAGGUCUAAUCAUUUCAUCUCUGCAAUAAAUAUCAAUGUUGCUACAUUUAAUAGAUGUUACUGGCAAACACCAAAACUAAGGAACAAUUAAUAUCUACAUUGAUACAUUUAUGGAAAAUAGAAAGCAAUUGACAUUUGUUUAAGCCAUAUGUAAACUCAUAUAUUUUUAUCUUUGCUGAAACAUACACAUAUUGAACAAUUCACAUGGAUUAGAACUAAAACAUUAACAUAGAUUAAAUUAGAUUCAGUUUGCUCAUUAUAAUACAGUUCUUGUCAUUUGUAUAUUAUUAGAGUUUAAUUUACAGUUUUAAGACAUCAGAAACAUAACUCUUUCUUUCCAACUCAAUCAACAUGUCUUUGACUCCAGUGAUUGACAUGCAUUACAUGAGGUGAGAGGCUGUAGCAACCUCUGAAUAUGUAUGAGCUAACAUGACACGAGACAUUUAAAAUAUUUGGAACCUGAGAAUCCUAAUGAUCUGUCCCAAAUGUUUGUCCCCAUGUGACGUUUCAUUGAUUACGACCUAAUAUGGUGCAGAGCAAUCCAUUUGGCUGCUGGUGAGCAAGAAGACCCACAGCUCUGCUAAAACCAUUGACAACUGUGUGCAGUUUUCAAGGGAUUGUUAAACAUUUUUUUAAGAACUUUAUUUAACUAGGCAAGUCAGUUCUAUUUACAGUGACAGCCUAGGAACAGUGGGUUAACUGCCUUGUUCAGGAGCAGCUCAGGGAUUCAACAUGCAACCUUUCGGUUACUGGCCCAACGCUCUAAACCACUAGGCUACCUGCCUCCCCAACACUCUAACCACUAGGCUACCUGCCUCCCCAACACUCUAACCACUAGGCUACCUGCCGCCCCAACACUCUAACCACUAGGCUACCUGCCUCCCCAAUACUCUAACCACUAGGCUACCUGCCUCCCCUACACUCUAACCACUAGGCUACCUGCCUCCCCAACGCUCUAACCACUAGGCUACCUGCCUCCCCAACGCUCUAACCACUAGGCUACCUGCCUCCCCAACCCUCUAACCACUAGGCUACCUGCCUCCCCAACGCUCUAACCACUAGGCUACCUGCCUCCCCAACGCUCUAACCACUAGGCUACCUGCCGCUCUAACCACUAGGUUACCUGCCGCCCCAACGCUCUAAGUUACCUGCCUCCCCAACACUGUAACCACUAGGCUAUCUGCCACCCCAACGAUCUAACCACUAGGUUACCUGCCUCCCCAACACUGUAACCACUAGGCUAUCUGCCACACCAACGAUCUAACCACUAGGUUACCUGCCUCCCCAACACUGUAACCACUAGGCUAUCUGCCACACCAACGAUCUAACCACUAGGCUACCUGCCUCCCCAACACUCUAACCACUAGGCUACCUGCCACCCCAACGCUUUAACCAUUAGGCUACCUGCCUCCCUAACGCCCUCACCACUAGGCUACCUGCCUCCCCAACACUCUAACCACUAGGCUAUCUGCCACCCCAACGAUCUAACCACUAGAUUACCUGUCACCCCAACGCUCUAACCACUAGGCUACCUGGCUCCCCAACGCUCUAACCACUAGGCUACCUGCCGCCCUGUCAUUCUAACCAUUAGGUUACCUGCCUCUCUAACCACUAGGCUACCUGCUGCUCCAACCACUAGAUUAACUGCCUCCCCAACGCUCUAACAACUAGCCUACCUGCCGCCCCAACGCUCUAAUCACUAGCCUACCUGCCGCCCCAGCGCUCUAACCACUAAGCUACCUGCCGCCCCAACGCUCUAGGUUACCUGCCACACCAACGCUGUAACCACUAGGUUACCUGCCUCCCCAACGCUCUAACCACUAGGCUACCUGCCACACCAAUGCUCUAACCACUAGGCUACCUGCCACCUCAACGCUCUAGGUUACCUGCCACCCCAACGCUCUAACAACUAGGCUACCUGCCUCCCCAACGCUCUAACCACGAGGCUACAUGCCUCCGCAAUGCUCUAACUACUAGGCUACCUGCCUCCCCAACAUUCUAUCCACUAGGCUACCUGCCUCCCAACAUUCUAACCACUAGGCUACCUGCCGCCCCAAAGCUCAAACUACUAGGCUACCUGCCGCUCUAACCACUAGGUCACCUGUCGCUCUAACCACUAGGUUAGAUCUGUUAUUAGCUGGCUAGCCAAUUUGACGUGAUCCAUCAGCAGCAAUCGUGACUAAACACUCUUAAAAAACAAUGUUGAAAAGUGGAUAACGUUAGCUAAAUUUGCUAGGUAGGCCUACGUUGGUCUGAGAAAGAAGUACAUUAGGUCUAUUUACCUCUGUUUAGCCUGUAACAAGUUUAUGCCGAUAGCUUGCAAGUAUUAUCAGCUAACAGUACAUUGGUAAAAUGUUCCCUUCUGCUGCUUGACAGGAAGAGCCUGCAAAGGACAAGAAAUUAACCUUAACCACUCAUUCUUGUCAGCUAUAGUUCACUUUUAUUUUAUAACACUCACAUAUCCAAUCAAUGGUGGCCAAUGUUAAGAGAUAUCGUCAGGCUACCCUCACAUAUCUGAAAUGACCAUGAACAGCAUGCAGUUACUGCUGUAUAACUGAUACAGCAGAAUAUGGAAUUAUCUGACAUUUGUAGUUCUAUGCUCUUCCAGAGGUGAUGAUACCGAACGCUCUGCACCGUAUUGUGACGCUUUAUUGACAACCUAUUCUAACCAUUCUAGCCAGUCUAAGGGUCAUUCCAUUAAAUGAGUGCCAUUUGAUUAUUUUAAGUAGGAAUCGUGUGCAAAUAUUGAAUUUUAAAAGCCUGUUAUAUUAAGUGAAGUGCCCUUUAAUAAAAUGGUCAAUUCAUUGAAUUGACAGAUGUCAAUUCAAUGUCUAUUCCACAUUGGUUGAAUGUAAUUUCACUGAAAUUAUGUUGAAAGUGAGUUGAUUCAACCAGUGGGAGACCACAUGGAAAUUCAAUAAAUCUGCUUUUUUAUAUGAAUAAAGACUUGCUAAAGUGCCAAAAUGUUGCAUUUUGACAUGUCCCUCUGUACGCCUUUUGUGACUACUCGGAAGAUUUGAACCCACUAUCCCCAAAAUGUCUCUAAAUGUUCAGCAUCAUUGUAAAGCCCUAGUUAUGUUAUGUUGCUUUGACAGUCAUUUCUGCUGAUUUACUAUUUAUUUAAUGAUUCAUUUCAAUGUUUAAAAAGAAAGUAAUUUUAAGGUCAACCCUGUUACUUGGACUAAACUCUCGUUUUAUUCCUUAAGAGUCUGUUGACACAUCCGUGUGUCAAUCUAAGUAACGUAAUAACACAGCCAGCAGCAUACCACCCUGCAUACCACUGUUGGCUUGCUUCUGAAGAUAAGCAGGGUUGGUCCUGGUGAGUCCCUGGAUGGGAGACCAGAUUCUGCUGGAAGUGGUGUUGGAGUGCCAGAAGGAGGCACUCUUUCUUCAGGCCUUAAAAAAUAUCCCAAUUCCACAGGGUAGUGAUUGAGAACACUGCCCUGUGUAGGGUGCUGUCUUUCGGGUGGGACGUUAAACGGGUGUCCUGACUCUCUGAGGUCAUUUAUGAUCCCAUGGCACUGAUUGUAAGAGUAGGGGUGUUAACCCUGGUGUCCUGGCUAAAUUCCCAAUCUGGCCCUCAAACCAUCAUGGUCACCUAAUAAUCCCCAGUUUACAAUUGGCUCAUUCAUCCCCCUCCUCUCCCCUGUAACUAUUCC